UACGUAGGGGGCAAGCGUUGUCCGGAUUUAUUGGGCGUAAAGAGCGUGUAGGCGGCCACACAGGUCUGCUGUGAAAACUCGAGGCUCAACCUCGAGCUGUCGGUGGAAACCGUGUGGCUAGAGUCCGGAAGAGGAGAGUGGAAUUCCCGGUGUAGCGGUGAAAUGCGCAGAUAUCGGGAGGAACACCGGUGGCGAAGGCGGCUCACUGGUCCGGUACUGACGCUGAGGUGGCGAAAGCGUGGGAGCAAACAGG
rnacentral:rRNA from 1 species